rfam:Coprinopsis cinerea okayama7#130 chromosome 4 cont3.4, whole genome shotgun sequence.
GCCCGCCUAGCUCAAUCGGAUAGAGCGUCAGACUCUUAUGGUCUGGGACGGGUUGCUGUUCCUAUCAUUAGGAUAUCUGAAGGCUGCGAGUUCGACCCUCGCGGUGGGCU